ensembl:piRNA 21ur-4641 ncRNA
UGAGUAAUGAAAUGGGGAAUU